rnacentral:rRNA from 1 species
CAAAAUGGGAGGUAAAUUUCUCCUAAGGCUAAAUAUCGGCGAGAGACCGAUAGCGAAUAAGUACCGUGAGGGAAAGAUGAAAAGAACUUUGAAAAGAGAGUAAAAUAGUACGUGAAAUUGUUGAAAGGGAAACGAUUGAAGUCAGUCGUACCGACGAGAAAUCAACUUAUCGUGUGCGAACUUGUGGGCGUGCGUGAGUUUCGGCCUCGCUGUUUGCAUGUUUGUGCAUUUUGGGUGUACUUUUUCGUAUGGUAGGCCAACAUCAGUUUUGUUUGCUAUAAAAUGACCGGAGGAAUGUAGCUUUGAUCUCGUAUUGAAGUGUUAUAGCCUCUGGUAGAUGUGGUGAUCGAUACUGAGGAUUGCAACGAAUACCUUUUGGGCUAUCUGUCUGACCUCUGAAAGUUGCUUAGGUGCCGAAAGCAUGCUUACGGUUAUUAAGUUGACGGUCAAUAGGUUAGAACGCGAUUGUA